rnacentral:rRNA from 1 species
UGGGCGAAAGCCUGAUCCAGCCAGUGCCGCGUGGGUGAUUGAAGGCCUUCGGGUUGUAAAGCCCUGUCGGAGGGGACGAAAGCCGCAAGGUUUGACGGUACCUCCAAGAAAGCACCGGCUAACUCCGUGCCAGCAGCCGCGGUAAUACGGAGAGUGCAAGCGUUGCUCGGAAUUACUGGGCGUAAAGCGUACGCAGGCGGCUUUGUAAGUCGGGUGUGAAAGCCCCAGGCUCAACCUGGGAACUGCAUCCGAUACUGCAAGGCUUGAGUUCGGGAGAGGGAAGUGGAAUUCCUGGUGUAGAGGUGAAAUUCUUUGAUAUCAGGAGGAACACCGGCGGCGAAAGCGGCUUCCUGGCCCGAUACUGACGCUCAUGUACGAAAGCGUGGGGAGCAAACAGGAUUAGAUACCCUGGUAGUCCACGCCGUAAACGAUGAGUGCUAGAUGUUGGAGGUAUUCACCCCUUCAGUGUCGAAGCUAACGCAUUAAGCACUCCGCCUGGGGAGUACGGCCGCAAGGUUAAAACUCAAAGGAAUUGACGGGGG